rnacentral:rRNA from 1 species
CCUACGGGGGGCUGCAGUGGGGAAUAUUGGACAAUGGGCGAAAGCCUGAUCCAGCCAUGCCGCGUGUGUGAAGAAGGCCUUCGGGUUGUAAAGCACUUUCAGUGGGGAAGAAAGCCUUGGGGCUAAUACCCUCGAGGAAGGACAUCACCCACAGAAGAAGCACCGGCUAACUCCGUGCCAGCAGCCGCGGUAAUACGGAGGGUGCGAGCGUUAAUCGGAAUUACUGGGCGUAAAGCGCGCGUAGGCGGUCUGAUAAGCCGGUUGUGAAAGCCCCGGGCUCAACCUGGGAACGGCAUCCGGAACUGUCAGGCUAGAGUGCAGGAGAGGAAGGUAGAAUUCCCGGUGUAGCGGUGAAAUGCGUAGAGAUCGGGAGGAAUACCAGUGGCGAAGGCGGCCUUCUGGACUGACACUGACGCUGAGGUGCGAAAGCGUGGGGAGCAAACAGGAUUAGAUACCCGAGUAGUC